UACGGAGGGUGCAAGCGUUAUCCGGAUUCACUGGGUUUAAAGGGUGCGUAGGAGGGCAGGUAAGUCCGUGGUGAAAUCUCUGAGCUUAACUCAGAAACUGCCGUGGAUACUACCGGUCUUGAAUAUCGUGGAGGUGAGCGGAAUAUGUCAUGUAGCGGUGAAAUGCUUAGAUAUGACAUAGAACACCGAUAGCGAAGGCAGCUUGCUACACGAGUAUUGACACUGAGGCACGAAAGCGUGGGGAUCAAACAGG
rnacentral:rRNA from 1 species